rnacentral:rRNA from 1 species
UACAGAGGGUGCAAGCGUUAAUCGGAAUUACUGGGCGUAAAGCGUGCGUAGGCGGUUCAGCAAGUCGGGUGUGAAAUCCCUGGGCUUAACCCAGGAAUUGCAUUCGAUACUGGCAGACUAGAGUAUGGUAGAGGGUAGCGGAAUUCCCGGUGUAGCGGUGAAAUGCGUAGAGAUGGGGAAGAACACCAGUGGCGAAGGCGGCUACCUGGACCAAUACUGACGCUGAGGUGCGAAAGCGUGGGGAGCAAACAGG